CUGAAGAGACUGCAGUUUUUCCUUGAAUAACAGGUAUCCAGUGUGUUCAGGGUUUUGGCGCCCCCUGAUGGCAGGGGUGUGGUAACACCACACUCAGGCCUUCUCUACUUGUAGCUUGGCCCGAAUUGGAAGAAACUCCAAUGACGCUGAGUUGUCUGACGUAACACAUCCACACCUGGUUCCUGGAACACCUGCAAAGCUUUUCUCCCCUUUGCCACCCUGCCCCCAAGCACCCCACUGCGCCCUUUCUGUCCCCUGCCAGGCCACCACGGCCCCUCCCAGUGCCCUUGUGACGCUGGACCACCCUUUGAUCAACUGUUGCUCCUGUGAUGGGACUGGGCAGGAUUGGGACAUGGGGCCCGAUACAGCAGAGCUAUAAUGCUUGAGUUCCUUCUCCCCAAAGUUCGCCCUGGUGUCAGUUUAGGUGCUGCCCUCUCAGUCUCAAAAAAUAGACUCCAGUGUUGUCAGUCUCCCUAAGGCUCUGUGUACUCAUUGCUGAGCAGCCUCAUGGUCAUUAGUGUCACUGUCUUAACAUACAGCAUUUUCCUCCUGCUUCCCAUCUGGACCGCAUGUUUGCUCCAACCUCUUACCACUCAGCCUGGGGACAUUCAUCAAACAGCAGGGGUCUUGACUCCCCCACCUGCCCUACCACUGGUUUCUUCUCUGAAGGAAACACUUAAGGCCAGUUUUGGACCCUGUAAGCAAAAUUAGACUGCUGCCCUCUCUGCUGCUUCCACCAACUUACCAGCUUGGUUUCUUUGUCAUGAAGUCCAGGUAUGGGGCCUUCUUGAUCGUUUACCCAAUGUUAGUGUAUCUCUUGGAAAAUUGGUAAAAAAAUACAUAUAUCUUAUCCUGGACCUGAUUUCCCAGAAAUCAUGUUCUGUGAUGUUUGGUUCUUCUUCUUCUUCUUUUUUUUUUUUUUUUAAGAUUUUAUAUUUGACAGAGAGAGACACGGCGAGAGAGGGAACACAAGCAGGGGGAGUGGGAGAGGGAGAAGCAGGCUUCCCGUGGAGCAGGGAGCCCAAUGUGGGGCUCGAUCCCAGGACCCUGGGAUCAUGACCUGAGCUGAAGGCAGACGCUUAACGACUGAGGCACCCAGGCACCCUGUGUGAUGUUUGGUUCUUCUUAAGGAAUCAUGAAUUUUAAGAGCACUAUUUUUCCUAAAGAAAAUUGAUAGUGUUGCACUUUUUUCACAUUUAAAAAAACCUGUGAAGUCAGCUUAUUGACUCACCAAAACUGUCUACCUUUCUGAUUUUAAAAUCGUAAGAAAUGCUGUUAGGAUUAUUGAGAGCAAUGGAAUUUUACAAACUACUGAUACCUUGCUCUCAUCCUAAAUACUGAUUUUACUCGUCUGGGGUACCUUUGGGGAGCCUGAGUUUUUGACAUGCCUCGUAUGUUUCUACUGAGCAGCCAAGGUUGAGAACCACUGAAGCAGAUUUGGAACCUGGUGCUAAAAAAGUUAUAGUUCUGUUAACAAGUGACUACUUAGCAGGACUUUGAAGCCUUUUAUAUUAAAUGCCAUACAACUUUAGAUGCCUUUCAGAUACAAAACGCAAGUGUACAGUUUAUUAAAUGUUAGGAGUUGUGGGAAGUGGAUGCAGGGAAGGGAGUUGUCACACUAGCAUAAUAGCAGAUCAGGAGCUUUUGUCAUCAAUGGAUGCUGAAGUUUUGGGAUGAAAAGUAGUGGGAUAUGGCCCAACAUAUCACCCUCUCCACUGAGGUCUUUUAGUCACUAGUUAACCAAGUGAUUAAACUUAGCACCACCAGCCCACUUACAAACUUCUUAGUCUCUAAAAUAGAGGAGAUGAUAGUUCUCACCUUCCUAGUUCCUCCCUGGAGACUGAGAUUCAGUGCUGUGGCCCCUAACACAUAAAAAACACUGGAUGAAUGUUGAGCUUUUCUGAUGGCUAUUUUAUUUUUCUAUGUGUCAUAAUAGCUGAGAAGAAUCAGAUUUAAAUUAAUGUCUGCCAAUAGAUGUUAACUUCAACUGAGACGGGACUGAGUUUAAAGAUAGGAAGGAACAAUUUAUUUGAAGCUUUAAAAGUCCUAAGUAAAGUAGUAUAACAUAGGAAAAAAAUUUAAAACAGUCUGAAACUUGAGUAGUUAAUAAAAAUACUUGUAAUAAAGCACAGGAAAACAAUGUAUUUGGUCAUAUUGUGAUUCCUAAUGUAAAUCCUAGCACUGCUAUUGAUAAUUUUAAAUGUAAUUUACAUUUGUAUAUGAUGUAAACAGUUGGAAAAUGUUUGAUUAAAUCGUUUCACUAUUAA